UACGUAGGGGGCUAGCGUUGUCCGGAUUUAUUGGGCGUAAAGAGCGUGUAGGCGGCCAGGUAGGUCUGCUGUGAAAACUCGAGGCUCAACCUCGAGACGUCGGCGGAAACCAUCUGGCUAGAGUCCGGAAGAGGAGAGUGGAAUUCCUGGUGUAGCGGUGAAAUGCGCAGAUAUCAGGAAGAACACCCGUGGCGAAAGCGGCUUCCUGGUCCAGUACCGACGUUCAGGCACGAAAGCGUGGGGAGCGAACAGG
rnacentral:rRNA from 1 species